rnacentral:rRNA from 1 species
ACUCAAAUGAAUAGACGGGGGCCCGCACAAGCGGCGGAGCAUGUGGAUUAAUUCGAUGCAACGCGAAGAACCUUACCUGGGUUUGACAUGCACUGGAAAGCUUCAGAGAUGGAGCCCCCCUUGUGGUCAGUGUGCAGGUGGUGCAUGGCUGUCGUCAGCUCGUGUCGUGAGAUGUUGGGUUAAGUCCCGCAACGAGCGCAACCCUCGUUCCAUGUUGCCAGCGCGUAAUGGCGGGGACUCAUGGGAGACUGCCGGGGUCAACUCGGAGGAAGGUGGGGAUGACGUCAAGUCAUCAUGCCCCUUAUGUCCAGGGCUUCACACAUGCUACAAUGGCUAGUACAGAGGGCUGCGAGACCGUGAGGUGGAGCGAAUCCCUUAAAGCUGGUCUCAGUUCGGAUUGGGGUCUGCAACUCGACCCCAUGAAGUCGGAGUCGCUAGUAAUCGCAGAUCAGCAACGCUGCGGUGAAUACGUUCCCGGGCCUUGUACACACCGCCCGU